rnacentral:tRNA from 1 species
UAGCUCAGUCGGUAAAGAAUCUGCCUGCAAUGCAGGAGACCUGGGUUCAAUUCCCAG